rnacentral:rRNA from 1 species
UACGAAGGGUGCAAACGUUGCUCGGAAUUAUUGGGCGUAAAGCGCACGUAGGCGGCUUAGCAAGUCGGAAGUGAAAUCCCACGGCUCAACCAUGGAAGUGCUUUCGAAACUGCUGAGCUUGAGUACGAAAGAGGAUCGCGGAAUUCCCGGUGUAGAGGUGAAAUUCGUAGAUAUCGGGAGGAACACCAGUGGCGAAGGCGGCUCACUGGAUCGGUACUGACGCUGAGGUGCGAAAGCCAGGGGAGCAAACGGG